AUUUUUGGAUAAUCGCGUGUUUAGCUUGGCUAGACAUGAGGAAAGUCCAUGCUAGCACUGGCUGAGAUGUCGGUAGUGAUUGUGCUAGGCGAAUGCAUAAGCCUAGGGAGGUAGCUUGCUACCUUACGGCGAGUUAAAGGGCUAAGUCUUAGGAUAUGCCUCAAUAGCUCUGAAAGUGCCACAGUGACGUAGUUUUUCAGGAAACUGAAAAAGUGGAACGCGGUAAACCCCUCAAGCUAGCAACCCAAACUUUGGUCGGGGCAUGGGAUGGAAGGAAAUGAACGGAAAUCCUGACUGGUAACAGUAGACAGAUGAUUAUCGAUAGGAAAAGGGGACCUAACCUUUCCUUGAACAAAACAUGGCUUAUAGAA
rnacentral:RNase_P_RNA from 1 species